UACGUAGGGUGCGAGCGUUGUCCGGAAUUAUUGGGCGUAAGGAGCUUGUAGGUGGCUCGUCGCGUCGGGAGUGAAAACCCGCGGCUUAACCGCGGGCCUGCUUUCGAUACGGGCGGGCUAGAGUUCGGCAGGGGAGACUGGAAUUCCUGGUGUAGCGGUGGAAUGCGCAGAUAUCAGGAGGAACACCGGUGGCGAAGGCGGGUCUCUGGGCCGAUACUGACACUGAGAAGCGAAAGCGUGGGGAGCGAACAGG
rnacentral:rRNA from 1 species